rnacentral:rRNA from 1 species
CAGGCUUAACACAUGCAAGUCGAGGGGCAGCAUGGUCUUAGCUUGCUAAGGCCGAUGGCGACCGGCGCACGGGUGAGUAACACGUAUCCAACCUGCCGUCUACUCUUGGACAGCCUUCUGAAAGGAAGAUUAAUACAAGAUGGCAUCAUGAGUCCGCAUGUUCACAUGAUUAAAGGUAUUCCGGUAGACGAUGGGGAUGCGUUCCAUUAGAUAGUAGGCGGGGUAACGGCCCACCUAGUCUUCGAUGGAUAGGGGUUCUGAGAGGAAGGUCCCCCACAUUGGAACUGAGACACGGUCCAAACUCCUACGGGAGGCAGCAGUGAGGAAUAUUGGUCAAUGGGCGCAGGCCUGAACCAGCCAAGUAGCGUGAAGGAUGACUGCCCUAUGGGUUGUAAACUUCUUUUAUAAAGGAAUAAAGUCGGGUAUGGAUACCCGUUUGCAUGUACUUUAUGAAUAAGGAUCGGCUAACUCCGUGCCAGCAGCCGCGGUAAUACGGAGGAUCCGAGCGUUAUCCGGAUUUAUUGGGUUUAAAGGGAGCGUAGAUGGAUGUUUAAGUCAGUUGUGAAAGUUUGCGGCUCAACCGUAAAAUUGCAGUUGAUACUGGAUAUCUUGAGUGCAGUUGAGGCAGGCGGAAUUCGUGGUGUAGCGGUGAAAUGCUUAGAUAUCACGAAGAACUCCGAUUGCGAAGGCAGCCUGCUAAGCUGCAACUGACAUUGAGGCUCGAAAGUGUGGGUAUCAAACAGGAUUAGAUACCCUGGUAGUCCACACGGUAAACGAUGAAUACUCGCUGUUUGCGAUAUACGGCAAGCGGCCAAGCGAAAGCGUUAAGUAUUCCACCUGGGGAGUACGCCGGCAACGGUGAAACUCAAAGGAAUUGACGGGGGCCCGCACAAGCGGAGGAACAUGUGGUUUAAUUCGAUGAUACGCGAGGAACCUUACCCGGGCUUAAAUUGCAGAUGAAUUACGGUGAAAGCCGUAAGCCGCAAGGCAUCUGUGAAGGUGCUGCAUGGUUGUCGUCAGCUCGUGCCGUGAGGUGUCGGCUUAAGUGCCAUAACGAGCGCAACCCUUGUUGUCAGUUACUAACAGGUUCCGCUGAGGACUCUGACAAGACUGCCAUCGUAAGAUGUGAGGAAGGUGGGGAUGACGUCAAAUCAGCACGGCCCUUACGUCCGGGGCUACACACGUGUUACAAUGGGGGGUACAGAGGGCCGCUACCACGCGAGUGGAUGCCAAUCCCAAAAACCUCUCUCAGUUCGGACUGGAGUCUGCAACCCGACUCCACGAAGCUGGAUUCGCUAGUAAUCGCGCAUCAGCCACGGCGCGGUGAAUACGUUCCCGGGCCUUGUACACACCGCCCGUCAAGCCAUGGGAGCCGGGGGUACCUGAAGUGCGUAACCGCGAGGAGCGCCCUAGGGUAAAACUGGUGACUGGGGCUAAGUCGUA